AUAAACUUGAUUCUCCUUCAAAACCAAGAACUGUACUUCCUCAAAAAUCAAAGAACAAAAACCAAGCUGCAAGCAAGGAGUUCUGCCCUGGCGUCACUACCUGUCUACGAGUUAGAGGAUCCAGACGGAGUCUUACUAUUUGCUGAACUUCACUAAUAAGAGCACUUGGAGGCUUCUCCACAGCUGAGUGUAUUCUUUUGUUCCUCUCCUUCCAAACCAGAUACACU
rnacentral:lncRNA from 1 species